UAAUUAUAACAUUCUCAUUCUUUUGUAGAAGAAACUUCUAUGUUCUGAUCCACAAGCUUUCAGAAUUCUAAAUGUGGCUUUUCAUUCCACAUUAAGUGUUCAGAUUACAUGACCCACUCCCAUAAAAAGCAGUAGGUGCAUUCACUUGACAAGUUCUUUAUGUAACUGCAUUCUUAUGAUGAAAUUAUGUUUCUGAAUUGCUUACCUCAGUGAAAUAUGCAUGUUUUUUCAUGGAAUUGGGAUAGCAAGGAAGCUUAAAAGGGCAUGCUUUUGAAUAGAGCUCAGAUUUUAAUUAAUUAUUAAAAAGUAUGCUGGCUGGCACUUACUGACCAACAUUUGUUUUCCACGGGUUUUUACUAAAAGAACUCUUAUUGGGUUUCCCCUUUUUAAAAGACUGUGACUAUGAAUGCCACUGUCUCUUGAUAUUGGACCUUUCUGUUUCAGUUUAGUCAUACAUUGUUUGAAUACAUUAAUACAAGCACAGACAAUAUUUUCUAUGCCUCUAUUCCAUGAAAAAGUACAAAUAUCAAGUAAAUGGAUAUGUUAAUCAUGUUCAAUUGUUGUGACAAAAUACCUAAGAAACGGUUUAAACGAAGAAAAGAUUUCGUUUGGCUCAUGGUUUCAGAGGUCCACGUAGCUUGGUAUCACCACUGUGGGCCUGCAGCAAACAAGAACAUGGUGGGGAGAGUAUGGUAGAGGAAAACUGCUCACCUCAUGGUGGCAUGGAAGCAAAAAUAGAGAAAGCUCCCUCUUGCAACAAAGCAGCUCCCCACAAACCCAGUAUAAUAUGAGUUCGUCAAUAAGUUAAUAUAGCUUUAGCUGUUGAUGAGGUUAGAGCCCAUUAUCUAGUCAUUUUCAAAAGGCUUCACCUCCACCUACUGCUGCCAUAGGGAUCAAGCCUUCAACACAUGAGCUUUUGAGGGACACUGCAGAUACAAAACAUAACAAAAGACAUCUUUUAAAAUAUUAUUAAAGACUUCUAGAGAGAAAGCAUCAUCUAAAUCACUUAACUCAGAAA
rnacentral:lncRNA from 1 species